GAAUAACGUAGACAAAAAAAAAAUUAAAAAAUUGUACACAUGCUUGAAAUGCUAUAUAGGCUAUAUAGGUCAAAGGCUAUUUAUUUCCUCCU
rnacentral:ribozyme from 14 species